UUUUGCCGGAUUAGCUGAGAGGUGGUGCAUGGCCGUCGUCAGUUCGUACUGUGAAGCAUCCUGUUAAGUCAGGGCAACGAGCGAGACCCAGCCCACAGUUGCCAGCGUACUCUCUGGAGUGACGGGUAUACUGUGGGGGACCGCCGCUGCUAAAGCGGAGGAAGGAAUGGGCAACGGUAGGUCAGUAUGCCCCGAAUAUCCCGGGCUACACGCGAGCUACAAUGGUUGGUACAAUGGGUAUCUACCCCGAAAGGGGACGGGAAUCUCCUAAAACCAAUCUUAGUUCGGAUUGAGGGCUGCAACUCGCCCUCAUGAAGCUGGAAUCCGUAGUAAUCGCGUUUCAACAGAACGCGGUGAAUACGUCCCUGCUCCUU
rnacentral:rRNA from 1 species